rnacentral:rRNA from 1 species
UACGAAGGGGGGCUAGCGUUGCUCGGAAUUACUGGGCGUAAAGGGCGCGUAGGCGGUGUGUCAAGUCAGGCGUGAAAGCCCCCGGGCUCAACCUGGGAACAGCGCUUGAGACUGGCACGCUCGAGUUCGGGAGAGGAUGGUGGAAUUCCCAGUGUAGAGGUGAAAUUCGUAGAUAUUGGGAAGAACACCGAUGGCGAAGGCAGCCAUCUGGACCGACACUGACGCUGAGGCGCGAAAGCGUGGGGAGCAAACAGG